rnacentral:rRNA from 1 species
GACGAACGCUGGCGGCGUGCCUAAUACAUGCAAGUAGAACGCUGAAGGAGGAGCUUGCUUCUCUGGAUGAGUUGCGAACGGAUGAGUAACGCGUAGGUAACCUGCCUGGUAGCGGGGGAUAACUAUUGGAAACGAUAGCUAAUACCGCAUAAGAGUAGAUGUUGCAUGACAUUUGCUUAAAAGGUGCAAUUGCAUCACUACCAGAUGGACCUGCGUUGUAUUAGCUAGUUGGUGGGGUAACGGCUCACCAAGGCGACGAUACAUAGCCGACCUGAGAGGGUGAUCGGCCACACUGGGACUGAGACACGGCCCAGACUUCUACGGGAGGCAGCAGUAGGGAAUCUUCGGCAAUAGACGGAAGUCUGACCGAGCAACGCCGCGUGAGUGAAGAAGGUUUUCGGAUCGUAAAGCUCUGUUGUAAGAGAAGAACGAGUGUGAGAGUGGAAAGUUCACACUGUGACGGUAUCUUACCAGAAAGGGACGGCUAACUACGUG